GGAUAACUUACCCUUAGGACUGGGAUAACUCUGGGAAACUGGGGAUAAUACUGGAUAUUAGGCUAUGCCUGGAAUGGUUUGCCUUUGAAAUGUUUUUUUUCGCCUAAGGAUAGGUCUGCGGCUGAUUAGGUCGUUGGUGGGGUAAUGGCCCACCAAGCCGAUGAUCGGUACGGGUUGUGAGAGCAAGGGCCCGGAGAUGGAACCUGAGACAAGGUUCCAGACCCUACGGGGUGCAGCAGGCGCGAAACCUCCGCAAUGUACGAAAGUGCGACGGGGGGAUCCCAAGUGUUAUGCUUUUUUGUAUGACUUUUCAUUAGUGUAAAAAGCUUUUAGAAUAAGAGCUGGGCAAGACCGGUGCCAGCCGCCGCGGUAACACCGGCAGCUCGAGUGGUAGCUGUUUUUAUUGGGCCUAAAGCGUUCGUAGCCGGUUUGAUAAGUCUUUGGUGAAAGCUUGUAGCUUAACUAUAAGAAUUGCUGGAGAUACUAUUAGACUUGAAGUCGGGAGAGGUUAGAGGUACUACCGGGGUAGGGGUGAAAUCCUAUAAUCCUGGGAGGACCACCUGUGGCGAAGGCGUCUAACUGGAACGAUCUUGACGGUGAGUAACGAAAGCCAGGGGCGCGAACCGGAUUAGAUACCCGGGUAGUCCUGGCCGUAAACGAUGUGGACUUGGUGUUGGAAUGGCUUUGAGUUGUUCCGGUGCCGAGGGGAAGCUGUUAAGUCCACCGCCUGGGAAG
rnacentral:rRNA from 1 species